rnacentral:tRNA from 1 species
UCCAUGGUGGUUCAGUGGUAGAAUUCUCACCUUCCAUGCAGGAGACUCGGGUUCAAUUCCUGGCCAGUGUA